rnacentral:rRNA from 1 species
CCUACGGGAGGCAGCAGUGAGGAAUAUUGGUCAAUGGGCGCGAGCCUGAACCAGCCAAGUCGCGUGAGGGAGGACGGCCCUACGGGUUGUAAACCUCUUUUGCCGGGGAGCAAAGGGCGCCACGUGUGGCGUCACUGAGAGUACCUGGAGAAAAAGCAUCGGCUAACUCCGUGCCAGCAGCCGCGGUAAUACGGGGGAUGCGAGGUUGAUCCGGGUUUAUUGGGUUUAAGGGGUGCGUAGGCGGAUGGUUAAGUCAGUGGUAAAAUUGAGGGGCCCAACCCCUUCCCGCCAUUGAAACUGGCGUUCUUGAGUGGAAGAGAGGUAUGCGGAAUGCGUGGUGUAGCGGUGAAAUGCAUAGAUAUCACGCAGAACCCCGAUUGCGAAGGCAGCAUGCCGGCUUCCGACUGACGCUGAAGCACGAAAGCGUGGGGAUCGAACAGGAUUAGAUACCCCUGUAGUC